UCAAGUAAUUGUUGUUGUUGUCUGGCUGGAAAUAUACUUUAUAGGCUCUGCACACUGAGCCCAUCCCGGGGGAAUGGUGGGAUUUUUUGACAGAUGUGAAACUCCGAUUCACACUGCCACCAUCCACCAUCCGUCAAAAACAGCUGAUGCCAAUAACAAGUUCAUUAAAUUUGCGCGGAAGAUUUAUUAAUUCUUGGUUCUUUUAAUGGAUGAUGAAGAUAUAGCAAUUAUUUCGGCUGUGGUUCAACAGCAAAAAGGGAUUCGAGGCAAUUGGGUUUCCUCAGUGCCUAGGUGCAAUUGAUGGAUGCCACAUCGAAAUAAAACCACCAGCACCUGAGGCAGUAGACCACCAUAAGGCUGAGGCUGGUAUUCCACAGUCUUGUUUGCCCUACUGGAUUAUAGGGUUUAAGUUACCAAGCUGUCCGUGAGUAGCGUGGGAUUAUUUGGCCGCCCGCCUUUUGAAGGUGGAAAUUGCCAAGUCAAAGAAUAGAAGAUGUUGGAGUACUGUUUAUAGCUUUACAUCAAUUUCGUCGAUGAA